CACCUUUUCUGACACUCUGCAGGACAUGAAACGGACGACAUGCCAAACAGUCGAACAACUUAAUUGAGGGAAAGUUCGACGCGAAAUAUUUUAUUCUAAAACAAAACACAGCGUAUGCUUGUACUUCGGCGCUAACAGGUGACCACAGCAAAACCGUAAGUAAAUUUGCAAAUUUUAGUUUUUCCCCUAUAGUAGUACAUAUAGGUAAUUAUUUAUAAUUCCCUGUACUUCUUUAUGAGUUUUCUACAUACGUUGAACGGAGUAAAUUUCUCCGUGUGUACCUGCUUUUCGUUUUAACAUAUGGACUUGUAUGACUUGUGUUACAAUCGUACAUUUCGUUUCACUAUAGACAUUUUAUAUGCAGUAGUGUUCUGUAGUUAUAGACAUUACCGGCAAAUCAAUAGCUCCUUUCGACACGAAAGCAAUACCUGUUUCCGACUAAAUCAAAGAUGCCAAAAUUCAAAUUAUGGUAUAACCGUAUCAGGAAAAAGUACGAAUCAUAAUAUCCGUGUUUUAUCGACAUGCGUUGCCGGGCACUAGAAUUAUAUCAAUGGUACAAAUAUCGCAACACAGAUGUUCAAGAAGCGUGUACAUUUCAUUUUUUUCGUUGACGGAAUCUUGAAUUAUUCGGGGAAAAGUGUAGAUAUAUUCAUACGAAUCUUACGAAGAAAAAAAUUAGCCUAUCCUAUUCCGUUUUAAAGACACGAAAAAAAUACUUUUAUGGGCUAGUUUACACUACAUCAAAGUUUCUGUGAUCACAGUAGGAAUUUUGCAUAGCUAAGUUCGAAGUUUUGAAGGAUUCGUAAGAAAUGUUUGAGGAAACUGAGUCAGUGUUCAACAGUCGGAGCCUGUUCCCUCAAACAUUUCUCGCAAAUCCAGUCAAAACCUCUUACUGUGAUCACAGAAACUUUGACAGUGUAAAUAUAAGCCUUAAAUUUUAGUGUUUUGAAGCAAAAUCUAAAAAUGUACUCAAUUUAAGUUUUGAUAGCCGUCAAUAAUUUCACUAUAAGAUUGACAGGGAUGCAAGGACCAGAAAUAUAUAAGGAGAACUUCUAACUGCCCGACCGGAAGGGCCUUCGCUCGAAACGGCCUAUCGAUCCGACUUUUUCCUAUAUACACUCACACAGUAUAUUGUCUAUAUAUUUGAUGGAAAAGAUAUAGAUUCCUAUUCGUGUCAUCAUUUUGUUCGGGCAUAUACCAAUAUAAUUUGACACUAUGUGAUAAUGGAGAAGUGUAUUCUUUUUGUUUUUAAGCGCGAGUGUCUUGCCAUACUACUUUAGUCUUUCUAUACUACUUUAGUCUUGCUAUACUACUUUAGUCUUGCUAUACUACUAUACUGUUUUUAUAGUUAUUGCAUUCCCAUCGAGUAACGGUAGUUGAAGAUUACCGCGGUUUGUCACGCUGCACGCGGAAACUUAACAGUUACAAAAAUUGUAUUCAUAUUUAUUAAUAUUUGCAGUCUGUCUGUGAUCUAUGUCCACAAACGUAAACACAAUAGCUUGCUUAUAUUGCUUAAAAUUAGCUUUUUGUUUAUCCCCAGGCUGCUAUUAACGCAAAUUAAUUUUCUUUAAAGCUUAUAUUUUCGAAACAACAUACGGAGAAUCGUAGACAAAAGUGACCUAUAAUUUUCACGGAUAUUGCAAAAGAGUUCUUAAAAGUUUUUUAAUAGCUUCUUUUCAAAAGUGAUCUAUAGUUUAGUGUAAAUUGAAUACGGACCCCCUCAACAGGCAAUAUGGCUGCUAAGAUUGCGAUCCUAUAUAUAGUGCUUUUAGUCAUAUUGCAAACAAACUUGAGAGAUCAUUUUCUAGUAAUUGAAAAUAACAGCAGGGGACAUCGGUUAAAAUACUAUUGCGAUUCGAUAUCCUUCGCCGUGGAAAACACCGUUAUUUUGCAGUUUUCAAAAGAUGCUUCAAUUAAAAUGGCUGGCUGUGUACCGUAAUAUACAGUUCACAGUAAAAUAAACACUGUUCGCGUAUUUACUCUGCUAUUUUCACAUAAAUUACGGGCACUGCAGAUAGUAGAUAAGCUCCUUAAAUUUAACGAAAUUUAGGAUACGCACUUCAUUAGACUUUAACAAACUAAUUUUUUAAAAUUUUAAUUUCGGUUUAGCUUUUCUUAAAUCGUGCGUUAGGUUUGUUCUAAAUUUUUAAUUUUCACGUUCAAAAUUAUGUUUGUUUUGCGAUGUGCUUGGACUUUUCGUACAAAGUAAAAACUGGAGCUAUCAACGCGCAGGUCGUGGACUCUGCUCUGGAAUUUUAUUUUUCAGUGCACGCAUCGAUGAUUACAACUUCAUUGUAUAGUUUAUUGAAACCACUGACCACAGGUUUCUUCACGAACUAACACUGGAUUAAUAAGAGAUGAUCCUUACUGGACCUCUAGGAAGAACAAUUUAGAACUGAUAGAGCUAUCCAGUAUAAACAAAGAUAGUUUAGUUUAGGUUUCUUCCUGUAGUAACACUGGAUCAAUAAGAGAUGAUCCUUACUGGACCUCUAGGAAAAACAAUUUAAAACUGAUAAAGCUAUCCAGUAUAAAUAAAGUUAGUUUAGUUUAGGUUUCCUCCACUGGAUCAAUAAGAGAUGAUCAUAAUUACUGUUCCUCUAGGGAGAACAAUUUAGAACUGAUAGAGCUAUCCAGUAUAAAUAAAGUUAGUUUAGUUUAGGUUUCCUGCUGUAGUUGCGCUGGAUCAAUAAGAGAUGAUCAUAAUUACUGUUCCUCUAGGGAGAACAGUUUAGAACUGAUAGAGCUAUCUAGUAUAAAUAAAGUUAGUUUAGUUUAGGUUUUCUCCUGUAUCCUGUAGUAGUACUGGAUAAAUAAAGGAUAAUCCUUACUGGACCUCUAGGGAGAACAGUUUAGAACUGAUAGAGCUUUCCACUGUAGAUAAAGUUAAAAAGUAUCUGAGUCCAGAGCAAGUACAGGUUUUCCAAUGUCUUGGGCACCUGCUUUCGCACCUGUCAAGUAAUACGAAUUACGGUCCGUUAAUUUAAAGAUAAGGAUUUGCAUAAUAUAUUGCUUAUAUCAGUUUUGGUUUUUGUUCAAUAUAUUGCUUGUUUCAACAACUGUUUAAAAUUCAUAGACAUAGUUUUUUUAAGAUAACUUUUAAAAGUUGCUACCGUACAGAAUUACGACGCUCCGGAUAUCUGGCGAUUGUUUUGUUGUACUUCAUGUUACUCCAACAUCGCCAUAAACAUAUAUAGUAUUCUUCAAUACGUUUCCAUGGUUUGUGUUUAAACUACCUGAAAAAGUUAAAAACGCUUCGAUGUUUUGGACGAGGAAGUCUCGGGGUUAGUUUAUAAGUUCUAUACUUGCUAGUCCACUAACUUACUGUCUGGUUUUGACUCAAUAUAUGUUUUUCAGUUCAGGUAGUUCAGACACAAACCACGACAGCUUAUUGUAGAAUACUACCUACACUGGAACACCACGUUUGAGAUAUCUUUUCAGGCAGUUCAGAAUCGUUCCGGUUAUUAACCGGUCCCGCCCGGCUUCAUAUGAAAUGCCCCUAAGUUAAUUCGCUAUAAAACUACCUGUAAUAUUUGAGUCUAAUUGAUUUUAUAAUUCCUUUAUCUCUGACAGGUAAUGGACAUGAUUUUUGCAUAUCUGAAAUUUCCUAAUGGAAUAAAGCGUUGGAUGUAAGUCAACCUCCAGGCAUGUUUGGAAAGUUCGUUGUAAACUCCGGACAAGAAAAUGAAGAAAAAACAGAAAAAGACUUGAAAAAAGUUUCAGAUGGGGACUUUGAAGAGAAAUCUUGUUUCUUCUUAAAACGAACAUUCUUCGUG
rnacentral:lncRNA from 1 species